GUACUGCGCCAUCGUUCGUCGUCUACUAUGUCUUGCCCGUAUGACGUGGACAGGCGAUUGGGCGAGCAGGCUCUGGAACGUUCUCCUUCUCCCAUCCUGCAUCGGUGCUUUUAUACUUUCGGUUGAAUGUCCUGUCAGCUAACACGAUCACACGUCGGAUGCAUGCAGGCACUAAGCUGAGCCACCUGGUGUGGUGUCCUGGAUGGACGACCCAUGGAUGCAUGAUGCACACCGAAGUCAAGGUUGCUGCUUGGUAGCGAAGGAAGAAUCAAGUAAAGACAAAGGUCGAUCCAUCGCGAUUCUUCCAUGGACGUCGACGAGCUUUUGUUGGUAGCAAUCAGCCAUAUGGAAACAACGAAGACGAUGGCGGCGGGGUUGUCAGGAUAUCGGACGAGGUGGACGCCGCGGAGAUUCAGCUCCAAGAGGUAAUCAUGUCGUCCGCCAUGGCGGCCACCGCUGCGGCGGCGGCGGCACAGCGGUAGUGUGUUAGUGAUACGCAUGUGUGAGUUAGUAUGCUUAGUGAAAGCGGGAUGAGUCUACGGGUCGAGCGUCCAAUCGGUUUAGAGAAAAAUCGGGCGCUGACGUCGCGCCCGAUUUAUGUGUAAAAUAUUUUAAACUGAUUUUUCUCUUAAAUUACUUAUUCUGAUUCAAAUUAUGAUCCGAUUGCAUCAUUAAAUUCGUUGUAAUUAAAUCUUCAAAACAAGACCACGCAUUGAUAUAUUCCGACGAAAUU